GGGACAGAUACUUUCAGAGAUGGAUUGGUGCCUUCGGGACUCUGAGACAGGUGCUGCAUGGCUGUCGUCAGCUCGUGUUGUGAAAUGUUGGGUUAAGUCCCGCAACGAGCGCAACCCUUAUCCUUGUUUGCCAGCGAGUAAUGUGGGGAACUCCAGGAAAACUGCCGGGGAUAAACCGAAGAAAGGGGGGAACAACGUCAAGUCUUCUUGGCCCUUACGAGUAGGGUUACCCCCUUGUUACAUGGGCGCAUACAGAGGGCAGCCAACUUGCGAAAGUGAGCGAAUCACAGAAAGUGCGUCCUAGUCCGGAUUGAAGCCUGCUCCUCAACUCCCUGAAAUCGGAAUCGCUAGUAAUCUUGGAUCAAAAUGCCACGGUGAAUAGGUUCCCGGGUCUUGUACACACCGA
rnacentral:rRNA from 1 species